ensembl:lncRNA
CUGUAUCCUGUCCGUGGUGGUGGUUAUAGAUGUUUCUGCAUGCAUGAAAACAUACAGAGCUCUAAACCAAAAAAGAGAAUUUUCUGUAGGUAAAUUUUUAAAUGAUCAAGAUUCUUUUCUUUUUAAUGUUUUUAUUUAUUUUUGACAGAGAGAGAGAGAGAGAGAGAGAGCGCAUGAGCAGGGGAGGGGCAGAGAGGGGGAGACACAGAAUCCGAAGCAGGCUCCAGGCUCCGAGCUGUCAGCACAGAGCUGGAUGCAGGACUCGAAUUCACGGACUGUGAGAUCAUGACCUGAGCCAAAGUAGGACGCUCAACCGACUGAGCCACCCAGCUGUCCCUAAAUGAUCAAGAUUCUUAAAAACUGCAGAAAAAGCUAAUUUUCUUUUGGCCAACAAGCCCAUCUUGACAAUUGACGAGAGAUCAAAAAAGGGCAUGGUGUUAAAGAGGACCCAGGCUGGAGAGAAGCAAGGAACCCUGAACUUUCUUUGGAAUCUGCACCUGUUCCAUUCACAGCCCAUUAGCUUCAAGCGGAGCUUCCUGAUUGGGCAGAGGCCAGUUCCCUCACCUGUUGGCACACGGCACCAAGAGGCCAAUGUGUGCUGCGAAUCUGUAAGAGGAGGAAAUCGUGGGUGCUCAGGGGCCCUCUUUACCUUGAAGAAGGUGGACUCAAUCCCUGUUCUACAGCGUGGCCUCCCAUGUGACUGAGAAGUGAGGAGGGCUGCUCUCGACCUCAUCGUGGAGUCGGUUGACCUCACCCCAACAGCCAGGCUCCAGGACUCUCACCACACAUGAAAAAUAAAACCCUGCUUUUAAAGCCAUUGUCGUGGUUCCUGUAACAAGCAGGCAGAAGCCCUUCUUGCUCAUACAGGGGUUUAUAAUUCAUAGGAAAUCUUAGGAGUGUUUGAUGAGAUGGCAAGAAGACAUGAACAGGAACCCACCCAGAAAGUGAGGCUGGGAAGUUCUAUUACGUCCUCAUCUCAAGCUAUGAAACCACUGAGAGCUUGAGCAAACCAGAAUCACCUCAUCAGCAGAUCCUGGUCAACGCGCUCCCCAGCAUCAUUACAAGGCACGAGCCAACCAUAAUCCGGGUUGGUUUUGGCCUGACGUGCUGUGUCCCUAGAUUGCAAGGACGGGGCAAGGCUUCGCAGGUUCCUCUGCAUUUCCUAGGGUAUCGUUCUCUUAAAAGAACCAACGAAGUGAUAGACUGUUCUCGUUAACGCCAUGACAGCGGGGACUGUGCCUGAGGCGUUCACCACUGGACCCCCGACAUCCGGCCCUAAGACAGGCACAGAGGAGACACUCACUAAACGUCAUUCAAAUUGGAUGGAAUUGAAUUACGUUAGCGUCGCCAAUAGAUGUCGGGACCAGGAUUUGACUCACAUAGUCUAGUUCCAUGGUUUCUGCUAUAAAACACUCUGAUGAACUGCCUCCUAACAUGACAUAGGAUUAAAAAGGACAGUGCAUUGCUGAGGCCUGGAAUCUCCUCCCUGAUUCCUCCCUGCCACCCCAGUGCCCACAUUUCCUUCAAAGUUUAAGACCUGCUUCCUACAUGAAGCCUUCCCAGAUAAAUCCAGUCUCCUUCAUCUCCGAAUGCCUUUCGUGCGUAUUGGGUACUAUGCAUCAUAUGUUCGAGAAACUGUCUUGUAUCAAUUUCUAAAUGCCUUAUAAUGUUAAUCCUUCUUGCUGAGCCAGCCGGUCACAGUCUCACAGAAAUAAUCCCAUCGGAGACUGCUUUUCUGUCUCUCACAGUAUCAGCACGUGAAGUACAGAGUACAUGCUCUAUAAAGAUUAAUUGACCUUCGAUUUGAAAUGGAUGAAAGGGAUGUCUACAAAGGUAUGGGCAAUUAACCUGCGCUCAUUCUCACAGCUAUUAAAUUUUUUAUUAUAGAAUAAGAAUCACGUUCACAAGAGAAUUGUCCAACCUUCACCCUCACAUUUUCUUGGUAAACAACCCCCUCCCCUAGCCCAGCUGACCUUGCCUCCUUUAACUUGCUGAGUUGGUUUGAAUAAGGAGAAGGAUCCUGGUCAGUGUGUGCGGGUCUCAGGAUUAAUACUACAUUUGGCUCUAGUGGCUGAAGGGGCAGCCUCUUGGAUCCUCAGAGUUAUGCUUUGGUGGAGAACCCUUGCCACAGAGAGACCUGCGGGGAGCCUGGGCAUGACCAAUGGAUAUUGACAGCUUUACUGACAUUUACAAGAGCUGAUUAUUAGUUGAAGAACUUUGCGUAAACAGUUGCCAUUUCAAACCAAUUGAUUUCUGUGAACUUAUAGCACAGGUACUGCUUAUGAAUGUCAAUACUUUUCACUGGUGAUUUCUUUAUUUUGUGGGCCUGACCACUCCUCUGUCUCACUAUGAAGCCCAACCUCUUAUUUUCAGAUGAAGGAAUAAAGGCUCAGAGAGGGACCUGUGACCACACAGCUGAUUGAUUUUCAUGCCAGAUCUUAACCCAGCUCGCCCUACAAUAACACUGUCCUAUAGAAACUUCACCAAUAAUAUUCCAUAUUUGCACUUUCCAUGUACUUAGCCCCAUGUAGCUGUUGAGCAUGUGCAAUGUGGCUAUUAUGAUGGAGGAACUGAAUUUUCAGUAUUUUUUUAAUUUAAAUUAAUUUAAAUUUAAACAGCCACAUAUGUAUGAGCGUCCGGCGCUUGACUUCAGCUCAGGUCAUGAUCUCAUGGUUUUGUGGGUUCGAUCCCCAUGUCGAGCUCUGCACUGAUGACACAGAGACUGCUUGGGAUUCUCUCUCUCCCCCUCUCUCUCUCUGCCCCUCCCCGACUUGUGUUCUCUCUGUCUCUCUCAAAAUAAAGAAACUUUAAAAUUUUUUUUUAAAGGUUUUAUUUAUUUUUGAGACAGAGAGACAGAGCAUGAACGGGGGAGGGGCAGAGAGAGAGGGAGACACAGAAUCGGAAGCAGGCUCCAGGCUCCGAGCCGUCAGCCCAGAGCCCGACGCGGGGCUCGAACUCACGGACCGCGAGAUCGUGACCUGAGCUGAAGUCGGACGCUCAACCGACUGAGCCACCCAGGCGCCCCAAUAAAGAAACUUUAAAAAUAAACAAAUAAACAGCAACAUAUGGCUAAAGACUAUCGUUCCAAAUAGUACAGCUCCAGAAUAACCGACCCAAUUUGUAGAGGGUCGGUAUAAAUAUAAAAAGGCUAUCUACCAAGUUCCUUCCUUUCUUGCCCCACAGAAGAACAGGGCAAGAAUAUUCCUGUGGAAGGACAAAGCAUGCAGUUACAGUGAAGUCAACAAGAGGCACUCGUGUCAGUUACCCAUCACCACCCCACAUAUUUGCUAUGCAGUUGCUAUCGUCGAAACCUCAGAACGUUAGUGGUUUCCCAAACAAUGCAUUCUCUUAUUUAUUUUGGCUGUUGCCAUGUUACUGCUGUGCACGAAGCCCUGGUAAAAAUGGGAGGCUGAUGGCUUGUGACAGGCCUGUCACUUCUGUUGACCCACAGGCUCAUGAAGGGAUGUGGAACGCUCUGCCAUAAAGCAUAAAAGUGACGCGUGGCUUAAAGCCCAGAUUUCUAAUCUUUGUCUUCACAAGAUCUUUGUCUUGCACAAAACACUUGGUUUCAGGCCCCCCUGACAGGGGAGGUCAUCUCAUAUUUUUGAGGGAGUAUCAUCUGAGAAUAGAGCUGCCAGUUAAUGCGUUUUUUUAUGUACACAAAUUCAUCCUGGACACUUGGGGCCUGGGUACUGGAAGGUAGCUUGAAAAUAGGAUUCUCUCUUGGGAGUAGUAAAGCCCCCUCCUCCUGGGAUUUUCCAAAGGAACUCAUAGAAUCACCAGGUCUGAAUGGUGAGAGGUAAAAAGAUGAGAAGGUGACGCUGCAUUCUGGCUUCUGUUGGUGAAUGAUUAGCUGUGACAUCGGUUCUCCUGUCUCUUCACUGCUGAGAACAUUGAGGCACAAAAUAAAGACUUUGCAAGCGACAACAUACUCUUCAAAGAGAAGGGAAAAGGAGGAAGUUUAGCGAGCAACCUUGGCCUGCAAGCCAAAAUAUUUGCUAUGGUUGUCUCCCACAAAAUCACUUUCAUGUCAUUAUCAUUAGAUGUUAGUCCAGUUGACGUUUAUGACUACAUUCCAGGCUGUGAUUCGAACUUGAAUCCUUUCCAGUGUUUGGAAAGAAAGGAGAAGCCACUCAAAAGAAGUGGGAAUCUUAAAGUCGAUGGGGAUAACCUCCACCUCUGGCCACAAUGGAGUAUAAAGACCCAGAUUUAUACUUAAUAACCAGAACAUUAGUUUAAACAACUAGUAAAACAGGCCAACUAUAUGAAGUGUUGGUCUUUAGACAUUGGGGGGGGGGGGCAGCACAGAGCCCAAAUAGAGCCUGAUGGUCUCUCUUAGUUGAGGAGAUAACCGAGUUUGGGGUUUGGAAAGGUCAGGGCAGCUAGAAUUCACAGAUCUAAAUACCAGAGUGGAUGGAGCUAGAGUGAGACAGCAAGAGAGAGGAACUACCAAGUGUGAGGAAAGAACGGGAAGUGAGUAGGAAAAACAAUUCCAGGAUCUCACAUAAGACUGGUAAUAGUUUGGUUCCCAGCAGUCAGAGUGGAAAGACCUCCUUGUAUGCAGUAGUUGGAGUCCUCAAAAGGGUAUUCCUUCCAUAGUAGAACCAAAUUGGCUUUAAACCAUUCUUAGGGUAGGAUUUUCUGGACCCACCCUCGCAAAGAGUACAAGUAAGCUUCAAAAGGAUCAAAUUCGUUCCAAGUAACUUAACUGCAUUUCAGAAUGAGGUCCAACAUUACUUAAAGGAACACAACAAAAUCCAGUAUCAAACAACAUAAAAUUCACUGUCUGGCAGCCAAAAUAUAUUAUCAGACGAUGCAAAUAACUACAAAAACAUAACUCAUAAUUAAAGAAAAGGCCAAUCAAUAAAAGGAAACCCAUAUAUAGAUAAGAUGAAAAAAUAAGUAUACAAAGGCAUUAAAAUUAUCAUUGAGGGGGCGCCUGGGUGGCUCAGCCGGUUAAGCGUCCGACUUCGGCUCAGGUCACGAUCUUGCGGUCCGUGAGUUCGAGCCCCGCUUGGGGCUCUGGGCUGAUGGCUCAGAGCCUGGAGCCUGCUUCCGAUUCUGUGUCUCCCUCUCUCUCUGCCCCUCCCCCGUUCACGCUCUGUCUCUCUCUGUCUCAAAAAUAAUAAAAUAAACAUUAAAAAAAAUUUAAAAAGAUUCUCUCUCUCUCUCUCUCUCUCUCUUUAAAAAAAAUAAAUAAAAUAAAAUUAUCAUUGAGAAUAGACUCCAU